rnacentral:rRNA from 1 species
UACGUAGGGCGCAAGCGUUGUCCGGAAUUAUUGGGCGUAAAGAGCUCGUAGGCGGUCUGUUGCGUCCGCUGUGAAAACCCAGGGCUUAACCCUGGGCUUGCAGUGGAUACGGGCAGACUAGAGGCAGGUAGGGGAGAAUGGAAUUCCCGGUGCAGCGGUGAAAUGCGCAGAUAUCGGGAGGAACACCGGUGGCGAAGGCAGUUCUCUGGGCCUGACCUGACGCUGAGGAGCGAAAGCGUGGGGAGCGAACAGG